rnacentral:rRNA from 1 species
GACGAACGCUGGCGGCGUGCUUAACACAUGCAAGUCGAACGAUGAAGCACUUCCUUUGGUUGUGUGGAUUAGUGGCGAACGGGUGAGUAACACGUGAGUAACCUGCCCUUCACUCUGGGAUAACUCUGGGAAACUGGUGCUAAUACUGGAUAGUACUCCUGCCUGCAUGGGUGGGGGUGGAAAGUUUUUCGGUGGAGGAUGGACUCGCGGCCUAUCAGCUUGUUGGUGGGGUAAUGGCCUACCAAGGCGACGACGGGUAGCCGGCCUGAGAGGGUGACCGGCCACACUGGGACUGAGACACGGCCCAGACUCCUACGGGAGGCAGCAGUGGGGAAUAUUGCACAAUGGGCGCAAGCCUGAUGCAGCGACGCCGCGUGGGGGAUGAAGGCCUUCGGGUUGUAAACUCCUUUCGCCAUUGACGAAGCCCUUUGGGGUGACGGUAGGUGGAGAAGAAGCACCGGCUAACUACGUGCCAGCAGCCGCAGUAACAC